rnacentral:rRNA from 1 species
GCAUAUCAAUAAGCGGAGGAAAAGAAACCAACAGGGAUUGCCCUAGUAACGGCGAGUGAAGCGGCAACAGCUCAAAUUUGAAAUCUGGCUUUCGGGCCCGAGUUGUAAUUUGUAGAGGAUGAUUUUGAUGCGGUGCCUUCCGAGUUCCCUGGAACGGGACGCCAUAGAGGGUGAGAGCCCCGUCUGGUUGGAUGCCAAAUCUCUGUAAAUCUCCUUCGACGAGUCGAGUAGUUUGGGAAUGCUGCUCUAAAUGGGAGGUAUAUGUCUUCUAAAGCUAAAUACCGGCCAGAGACCGAUAGCGCACAAGUAGAGUGAUCGAAAGAUGAAAAGCACUUUGAAAAGAGAGUUAAAAAGUACGUGAAAUUGUUGAAAGGGAAGCGUUUAUGACCAGACUUGGGCUUGGUUAAUCAUCUGGGGUUCUCUCCAGUGCACUUUUCCAGUCCAGGCCAGCAUCAGUUUUCGCCGGGGGAUAAAGGCUUCGGGAAUGUGGCUCCCCUCGGGGAGUGUUAUAGCCCGUUGUGUAAUACCCUGGUGGGGACUGAGGUUCGCGCUUCUGCAAGGAUGCUGGCGUAAUGGUCAUCAACGACCCGUCUUGAAACACGGACCAAGGAGUCGUCUUCGUAUGCGAGUGUUCGGGUGUCAAACCCCUACGCGUAAUGAAAGUGAACGCAGGUGAGAGCUUCGGCGCAUCAUCGACCGAUCCUGAUGUUCUCGGAUGGAUUUGAGUAAGAGCAUACGGGGCCGGACCCGAAAGAAGGUGAACUAUGCCUGUGUAGGGUGAAGCCAGAGGAAACUCUGGUGGAGGCUCGCAGCGGUUCUGACGUGCAAAUCGAUCGUCAAACAUGGGCAUGGGGGSCGAAAAGACUAAUCGAACCUUCUAGUAGCUGGUUUCCCGCCGAAG